AUACUGCAAGUCGAGCGGACGGAUGGGAGCUUGCUCCCUGAAGUCAGCGGCGGACGGGUGAGUAACACGUGGGCAACCUGCCUGUAAGACUGGGAUAACUUCGGGAAACCGGAGCUAAUACCGGAUAAUGCACAGCCUCUCAUGAGGCUAUGCUGAAAGAUGGUUUCGGCUAUCACUUACAGAUGGGCCCGCGGCGCAUUAGCUAGUUGGUGAGGUAACGGCUCACCAAGGCAACGAUGCGUAGCCGACCUGAGAGGGUGAUCGGCCACACUGGGACUGAGACACGGCCCAGACUCCUACGGGAGGCAGCAGUAGGGAAUCUUCCGCAAUGGACGAAAGUCUGACGGAGCAACGCCGCGUGAGUGAUGAAGGUUUUCGGAUCGUAAAACUCUGUUGUCAGGGAAGAACAAGUGCCGGAGUAACUGCCGGCACCUUGACGGUACCUGACCAGAAAGCCACGGCUAACUACGUGCCAGCAGCCGCGGUAAUACGUAGGUGGCAAGCGUUGUCCGGAAUUAUUGGGCGUAAAGCGCGCGCAGGCGGUCUCUUAAGUCUGAUGUGAAAGCCCACGGCUCAACCGUGGAGGGUCAUUGGAAA
rnacentral:rRNA from 1 species